UCUACACUCGUCAGAUACUAUAAUCGGUAUACAAAUUUUCAUAUUCUACCAAAAUCCCUUUUCUCGGUUCAUUUUCUCUUCUACAUCUUUCUCUCUACGAUCCCUUUCUCUCUUCUGCAGCAAGUGCGGCGAUGCUCAUUAUUUGAGAUGCAUCUGGCUGUGUUCGCGUUUGCUGCUCUGGUGGAUUGUGGUGGCUCUCGCAGUGGGGAUGGAAGUAGUUCUAGGAAGGUGUAACAGACGCCGUUAAAAGGUUUAUGGAGUUGAUCUCUUUCGACAAACAGCUCUACAAGCAAGACAUAAAAGGGAAGCAUAGCGCAUGCUUUGAUGCUAGCUCACUAUGGUUUGAUGAGCGCGAGCGAGAGAGACUCAAUUAUCGAAGGUUUGGAGGAAAUAGAGAGGCGCAUUAAGAAUGGAGAGUUGAAUUGGAGACUUUGACAGAGAGGAUGUGCACAUGAACAUCGGUGAGCCUGCGAAGAAGCUCCACACUGCUCGGAGUAGGAACGAUAAGAUUUUUACUAACUUUCGCCUCUGGUGCCGCGACGCCAUCAACGAGAUCCUCGUGAGCAUGAAGCAGCUUCAGGAUGAUGUUAGGAUCCUUCGAUCGCUGCCCGUGAAAUUCAUUCGUCAUGCCGACACGGAACCUAUACUGAACAACCCUUCAUCUCUCUUGCCCUUUGAUUUUCCAUUCAUUAUCCAACGUCAAAUUUUGAUACAUUUUCUCUACCUACUUUGAUGCAAUUUUGUUAUGUUUGGUUGAUCUAUUUUGGAUAAAUCUCAGGUAUAUGACGGAGUGUGCCUAAGGGGUUUUAGGACAUUGAGUUCGGGACGUUGCAAUCCAUCCAGAGUUAUUGGGAACUUAUUUCCAAAAGGUAAAUGAUGUAUGAGUGGACGUGAUGGAAAGUGAUCCUAGGAUUGUUCUUUGUGAUGUUGCGGAAAAGCACCUUGCUUCAAUGUUGGUUGUGGCAUCUUAGAAGGACCAAUGUGGUGAUACCCCCAUUUUUAGAGAAUGUAAUUGAAGGUUUCUCUGACAGCUGGUAGUUGCAUCACUGAUUCAGUAGAAUAUUAAGUCACAGUUGAUACUUAGGAAUCCUGAGAAGCCACAGAACUAUUUGGUGAACAAGAUAAGGAGAAACUGCAGGUACUCAAAGGUGACACAAGGAACUAGGAAGAUUUGUAUCCAUCUAUAUUUGAGGGUGUCACACACGUGAUUUGCUGCACCGGAACAACAACAUUUCCUUCAAGGCGUUGAGAUGAUGAUAAUACACCAGAAAGGGUUGGAGGCAGCCUAACCUCGAAUCCAGGGUUUAUUCCGCUGUUUUUAACACUUCCUUAAUGAAGAGAGUUGUUCUUGUGUCAUCAAUAUCAAUAGGUGUGACCAAAUUCAAUGACUUGCCAUGGAGAUUGACAUCAUAUACAAAGAUUGACAUUCAUAUACUGCAUCGAGCUCCAUUAGCAUCUAGGUCUGUAUAACUCUAGUGAUGUUAGGUGUCAAUUUGUAUAUGUAGAAGUUCUCUCUUGUUGAGGGAUAUUUUUUUUCUAAAACACGUGAUUUUGUUGUAAAACACUUGAUUUUGUUGUAGGGACUAUGUAAAACACUUGAUUUCUGAAA